GACUUCGUAGCUCAGCUGGUAGAGCAAAUGACUCUUAAUCAUUGGGUCGAGGGUUCGAAUCCCUCCGAGGUCA
rnacentral:tRNA from 1 species